AGAAAACGGAGCCAGGAGGUGAUCCUUGUUAUGGGACCCUCCCUGCGAGGGCAGGCGGAGAAACGCAUCUCCUCCAGGUAGGUCCCUGCUCUGGGGUGGACACCAAACUGGGGCUAAAGGGGUCUCCCAUCAAAUACAGGUCCCAGGAGAAAUUACUUUGCUCGGCCAAACACACUCAUCAAAAACCUCUGUGCAGUGGUGCUGCUGGAGGGGAUCCAGGAAAGUCCAUGUCUCCACAGCCCAGGCCAGUGGGUGUUUUUUAGUGGGGAUGUGGGUUUUUCUGUGUGUUUAAAGCAUUGUUUGCCUUUGUCAUCUGCAUUGUCUCCUUGGAGGCUGCUUUGCCAUACGGAAGGGCUCAGCCCUUCCCACUGUGGAGGAAGGCAGGGCAGUGCCCACAGCCUGGUGGCAGCGAGAUCUGCCCGCCGUGAAGGAGGGCUUGGAGACCUUGAGUGGCAGCUCCGCACAGCGCUCUAGCUGCGCAUGGGACUGAAAAUCAAUCCCCAUGAUGGAAAUAAAGACUUUGAAGGGAGCACCGAGACCUUCAGCAAAGUUAGUGUCUAAUGGAAGUAAGCGUAUCUGCUUAUAAAACCGUCAUCACAUGUGGAAGCAAUAAACCUGCCAUGAGCGCUGGGCUCAGAGCUGCCCUGCACAUGCCCUUUGCAGCCUGGGCAGCGGCGUGCGUUUAUGGGAUGGCUGCUCCCUGAAACACCUCCUGGCUCCCCAAAACGCCUCUUGACUGGGGCCGUGUCAUGCUGGAAGCAUCUCUGCCCGUGUGCAGGGCUGCUGAGAUGCUUGUGGUGACCUGAGCUCUGCCAGGGCUCCUCUUGCUCCUUCUGCUCGCAGGUGGGUGUUCUCCGGGGCUGGACCAUCCCUUUGCCAUUCAAACAAGCCUGAUUUUGGGGGGAAGGAACUCAGCCAAGGCUUGGAGGAGCUCCCCCUCCCCGUGCAUCUGGACGCCUCGUCAGCCAGUUGGCCGCCUCCUUGCACAAUGCGGCGUUAUGAACUCGCUGUGCAUCAUCCGGCAGCAUCCGGCCCGGCUGAGACAAUGGAGCGCCAAUUAUAGGCAUCUGAAUGACAAAGUACUCCAAUUACCCUGCGCUUGAAAGCGUGUGCUCUCCUCCCUGGCGCUGCUUUGCCAGCGCAGGCUGGCAGCCCUCUCGGGCUCUGGGACCCAGCCGCAGGCAGGAGGGCUUGGGGUGUCCCCAGUACCCCCAAAUGACAGAUGGGAAAUGGGUCUGGGGGUGAGAAAGGGGCUUGCUUUGCAGUGGGCUGGCUGCGCAUCCCUCCUGGGAGGCAGAUCCAGCUGUUGGGGCUUGGCAGCAAACCUGUUCGGGGCUCACCCUGCUCUCCAUCCUCCGCAGCCCCGACUUGCACAUCUCCCUGGCUUGGGCAGGGGUCUGUCCUGCUCCCCCCUCCCCGCAAUAGCCGUGAGCGGGACUGGGGGAGCAGCCUGGCUAUAAAUAGUGCUGAGGAGGCUGGGAUGGUGCAGCUGGGGCGGCAGCAGCAGCUCUCCCACGCCGCAGGCAGCUGCGAGCGGCUCCGCGCAGCCCCAGCGAUGGGACCCAGCCACGCUCCCUCUGUGCGAAACCUGCACCCCUCUGGCCAUGCACCCCCUCCCCACAGCGCUGCCUCCCCCUGCCCAGUCACCCCUCUGCACUCCCGAAUGUUGUAGAAAACGCAACUUGGAGCCCCAGGUGCCGCACACCCCCCUCCGGCUCUGCCUGCGUUUCCCUUUUGGAUCUGCGUUUCCCUUUUGGAUCUGCGUCUCGAGCACCGAAACCCCCACAAAGAUUAUGGCAGUCCCAAGAAGGGCACAUGGUCUGCAUUAGCCCACUGCAAUGUGCGCGUUAUUAACACAACUCCUGUUGACAAAGCCGCAGGUAUUAACACCAUAAAGCAUUUUGACAGCUGGACCGAGGAGGGGGGGGCGCGGCUGGAGGGUGCGAGCAACACCUCUGUAAGCUUUUAAUUGCUUUCUGAGUUGUGUCAGGGAGAUUUGUUUUGUCCCAGCAGGCACCACCAGCUGAGGAGAUGGCAGCGCAGGAGCUCGGCACCAUCAGCUCGGAGCUCUGGCACAGAGCAUCGCUUUGCGCUGGAGCGGGGAAGGGAGGGGAUGGCACAGCUGGAGAGCGGCCCAGGGGCAAGUCUGGAUCCGAACCGCCCGUGAGCCUGACAGACGGGGUCUGCCUUUCCUGGCAAAGUACCGUCUCUGGGAAAAGCCAAACCCCCGGCUCUGAGCGAUCCCCAAACUCCGGGCAGCAGGAAAGCCACGUCUGAGCUCUGCGGGUCCUGCCAAGUCUCGGCACAGCGGGACGGAGCUAUCGGCCAAGCAGCGCAGCCCCAGCGAGGGGCUCUGGGCAGGUCAGCGGCCGUGGCUGGAGGGAUGAGGCUGGGAUGGAGUGACCAGACCUCCUCCAGCUGCGUGGGACAACGGACAACACCCCACGGGUGCCUGGAAUGGUGAGACCCCCGGGAUCCAGACCCCAAGGUCUGUCCCAGCCACCAGGUGACGCGGAGCAGCGCCCAGCGAGGAGCAGGAGGUGAUGCUGCGAUGCCCGGAGGAGCAGCCGCCUGCUCCUCUUUAUAAACCAACCCUUGGCUGUAACAAGAACCCUUACUGAAAUUCUUUGGUCCCUAAAAAUCUCCUCACAUGCCACUCUCUUCUGUCGCAGCCCUUCCAGCUUCGGGCAGGACGGCUCUGCCUGGUGCCCUGCCCAGCCCAGACCCCACGGGGAUGGGUUAAGCUGUGCGUGAGAGGGGGCGCAGCUGGAAAUGUCACGGCCUGUCCUUUGUCCCAGCGAGGCCGCUGCUUGGUGUGUCAGCACCAGAAAUGCUCUUUGUGGAGCUUGCUGGAAAAAAAGAAGUGGGUUUUCUGGUGGCUUUGGGUCUGCGCUGCGCCCUCCCGCCGUGGGAUGCGCCAUGGGAUUCAGGGUUUGGGGCAAGCGGUCCCUGAGCCCCCCGGUACCACCACCUCGAGCGCAGGCACCGCGCAACAGCCCGAUGGCACCGUGGGAGAAGCCAGCGGCGGCGAUGGAAAGCUGAGCCCGGCAGACGGAGGCGGCUGCUCAGCUGGGCUGCAUCUGCGCGAGGCUGGGCCGGUGGCCAGCCAAGACUCAUCCAGGGCUUCUCCCAGCCGCCUCCAAAGGCCAGAGGUGUCCAAGCAAACCCGGGUGAUGCUUCGCCCCUCUGCCACCACCCUCGAAGGCUCCUCAGAGCCCUCCCAACAGCACAGGUUGAACACUGACUGUGAGCUCCUGCCGUCAAACUUUUUACUGAUUUUACUAAAAAGCCCAGGUAAUCCUUCUCCUGACAAAGCCAAAGACACAGUAAUGGGAAGUUAUAAAUAACAAUGAAUAAAUAAUAGUCAUUGGGAGAAUUUCAUCCUGGCUGCUGACGGGAUGAGAGGAGGAAUGAAGGGCUGCGAAGAAAAGCCCAGGGUGAGGAAAGGGCCCCUGUCACCCUGGUCUGGGGGCGUUCUGGGAACAGGGAAUGGGGUCUGGAGCCCAGCUGCUCCGGGGGAAGGCAAGGGGGACCCUGAGCUGCCCAUGUUGUGUUGGGAAAAGUUCCUUCUGAGGGGAAAGGGAGGAAAUUUGAUGUAGAAAUCGGGCUCUGGGGUUAUUGCUGUCGACUUCAGCAAGGGGCUUUGCUUCGCUGGGAGCCAUGGGAGCUUUCCUCGAGGGACAGUCCCUGUGGCAGGGGAGGAGUUUGUGGCAAUAAGGCGCCUUUCAGAAAAUUAAUUGUAUUUUUCUAAAGGAAAAAGGGACUAGAGAAAAAAAAUUCAUUUUGUUUGAGCUCUCUAGGGCAGCUUUGCUGAGGAAUUUGCACUUGGCCACUUGGCAAGAGCCGAGCCACGUCUGGCGAGCAGGAAGCCGAGGGCUGCCGUGGUCCAAGGGCCCUGGUUCUCCCUGCGAUCAAUGGGAUUUGGCCACUUAAAAGCUUUUAAGGAUGGAGGCCAAGGUCUGCUCUCGUGCAGCAGGCGCAGGGGCUGCUCCGCGCUCCCAUCCUCUGCUCUGCGCCUCUGCCAGCUCUGAAACCACCCAUUUGUUCUCCGUGGUGCACGGAUGGGAAGCUCAGCUCCAUCCUGAACCGCAAUUUAAAAUGUGCCGAGCAGCUUCCCCGGCUGCCGCGCAGUGAACGCCGAGUGGCUCCGAGCUCGUACGCCCACGGCAGAGUUUUACCAUUCAGGGGAACACUGCUCUCUCGAUUUAGAUGGCCAGGGAGGGAUCGCUGCUGAUACCUCCCCCUUUUCCCUAACUCGAGCCCUGUGCACGCUCUUCCUAUCCGUGCUGCACGUCAGACGCCCGCAGCCUUUGGAAAACAGGGAAUAACUUGAAAAACCCAUGUCUGUGCCCUGUGGGGAGCAAUUCCAUGGGGCUGGGGCUCGGCUGGACCACGGCACCCAAAGCAGAUGGUUCAGGCGCUGCCACCCCGGCUCAGGGUGGGAGAUGACAGCGUUCCAGCGCAGGUUGGGUCAGGAUCAAACCGCAGCUCCGGUCCUUUGUGUGCAUCGGGACGGAUGCCGCCCACUGGGGUCAGCAGUGCCGGCGGAGCAGGGAAGCGUGGAGCAUCAGCGGGAGGAUGUGAAGGGUUUGGGAAGAUACGGGGCAUGUGGAUGGGUGUGGGUUGGGGCUGCGGGACCGCCCCAGUGCUGUCUUGGGGGGCUGAGCGGCGAUUUCUCUUGGGUUUUGGCCCCCAGACACCCUCAAGGUGACAAUAUGGCCCAAAAUCGCUGCUGGGCUCCUACCUGGGGGGGAUCAGAGCACCCCGAAAGCACAGCUCCGGGGUAGGAGGGAUCCAGCCAUUCCCCAAACUCACAAAAACCUGAUUCCCAUUACUAUCAAAGUGUCCCAAUCUGGUUUCGAUUACACUCCUUGAUUUCCAUGGCUGUAAUUUCUCCUAAUGCCUCUCCAUCCCGCCCCCUGCCUUUUCCACUGCUAAUCCCUCGCCUGACGGCUCCCAGCCUCCUGCCCGGUCCUUUUUUCUCCCUUUAACUGUCUUUCCAGUGCGAUCCAUCACCGGGGCGGCAGCGAGGGGGGACUCACGGUAGCGGCUGAGAUGAAACUCUGGUUCCUUAUAAGGCCCGAGCGGCGGAAUCGCCGACAAGCGGAGACUGCGAUGUUGGAGAAAUUCAAUCCCUCUCGGGAUGGAGCCAUGGCAAAACUGUGAGACAGUAAAAAUAGCUGUGGUUCCUCUCCCUGAGGAAGAAGGAAGAUUUUGGACAAUCUAAAAUAACCCUGGCAGGGCCAGGCAGGGGGGAGGAAAUCGCUCCUCGUGGCACCAGGAAUAAAGGACGUAAAUAUGUCAGCGGCAGCAACAUUAUCAAUAUUUCUCUGCUUAAGGCAUCGAUUGAUUCCACAUGCCAGGGGCAGCGCUGGCUUUCUUCUCACCAGCCUGGCUUUUGGGAACUGAUUGAUUCACUUUGGUUGCUGAUGGAUCAAGAAUUCUGCUGUUAGGAGGAAAUGAAUGUCAAAUCUGUCCUGGCAUCGGUGAGGACGGAGCGAGGCAGGAGCUGGGCUCGAGCAGGAUGAGUGUUUGUUUUCCUUGACUCAUAGCUGGGCUUGUUGCUGGUUUUAUUUUUAUUCUGGAACGGGACAUUUGUUUUAAUUGCUUCAGUGCUGACCCUGCUGUGGGAUGCUUUUCCAGCUGGUUUUCAGAGCGUGUGUAGCCCUGACAACAUCCAGGGUGGGUUUUGCCUCACUCUUCCUUUCUCCCAGCAUCUGGCCCACGCCAGGCAAGGACAACAGUAGUGGUUGUGUUGGAAAUAUCACAUCUAACUCUGCCAUGCCUCAGUUUCCCCGUGUCUAAAGCAGGGAUGCUAAUCCCUGCCUCUCUCACAGAUACCCAGAGGCCGGUUC